rnacentral:rRNA from 1 species
CCUACGGGAGGCAGCAGUGGGGAAUUUUGGACAAUGGGCGCAAGCCUGAUCCAGCAAUGCCGCGUGCAGGAUGAAGGCCUUCGGGUUGUAAACUGCUUUUGUACGGAACGAAAAAGCUCUGGUUAAUACCUGGGGCCCAUGACGGUACCGUAAGAAUAAGCACCGGCUAACUACGUGCCAGCAGCCGCGGUAAUACGUAGGGUGCAAGCGUUAAUCGGAAUUACUGGGCGUAAAGCGUGCGCAGGCGGUUAUGUAAGACAGAGGUGAAAUCCCCGGGCUCAACCUGGGAACUGCCUUUGUGACUGCAUAGCUGGAGUGCGGCAGAGGGGGAUGGAAUUCCGCGUGUAGCAGUGAAAUGCGUAGAUAUGCGGAGGAACACCGAUGGCGAAGGCAAUCCCCUGGGCCUGCACUGACGCUCAUGCACGAAAGCGUGGGGAGCAAACAGGAUUAGAUACCCUGGUAGUCCACGCCCUAAACGAUGUCAACUGGUUGUUGGGAAUUCACUUUCUCAGUAACGAAGCUAACGCGUGAAGUUGACCGCCUGGGGAGUACGGCCGCAAGGUUAAAACUCAAAUGAAUUGACGG